UAGAGUUUGAUCAGGCUCAGAAGGAACGCUGGCAGCGUGCAUAACACAUGCAAGUCGAACGAGAUUAUUAUUUCGGAUGAUAUGAGAGUGGCGAACGAGUGAGUAACACGUAAGAAUCUACCUUUAGGACGAGAUAACUUCUGGAAACGGAUGCUAUACCCGAUAUGCUGUGGAGUGAAAGGAAUUUCGCCUAAAGAUGGUCUUGCGUCUGAUUAGCUAGAUAGUGUGGUAAUGGCGCACUAUGGCGACGAUCAGUAGCUGGUCUGAGAGGAUGGACAGCCACGUUGAACUGAGACACGGUCGAACUCCUACGGGAGGCAGCGGUGAAGAAUUUCCGCGAUGACGAAGCCUGACGGAGCGACGCUGCGUGAAGGAUGACGGCCUGCGAGUUGUAAACUUCUUUCUCGAAGAAGAAUUAAAUGACGGUAUUCGAGGAAUAAGCGUCGGCUAACUCUUGCCAGCCGCCGCGGUAAUACG
rnacentral:rRNA from 1 species